rnacentral:ncRNA from 1 species
ACCUCGGGGUGCCCGGAAACGGGCUGAGAUGCUUUUGCAAACCCGUUGAACCUGAACCGGUUAGGACCGGCGGAGGGAAGGGAUGG